rnacentral:rRNA from 1 species
UACAGAGGUCUCAAGCGUUGUUCGGAUUCAUUGGGCGUAAAGGGUGCGUAGGCGGCGGGGUAAGUCGGAUGUGAAAUCCCGGGGCUCAACCCCGGAACUGCAUUCGAUACUGCCUUGCUAGAGUACUGGAGAGGAGACUGGAAUUUACGGUGUAGCAGUGAAAUGCGUAGAUAUCGUAAGGAAGACCAGUGGCGAAGGCGAGUUCCUGGACAGUUGCUGACACUGAGGCACGAAGGCUAGGGGAGCAAACGGG